rnacentral:tRNA from 1 species
CCCUGGGUAGCCCAGUUGGUAGAGCGCUCCACCUGUAAUGGAGAGGUCCCGGGUUCGAUACCCGGCCCAGGCG